AGGCAGGCCGCCUCCCUGGGGUGGGGCUUGGGGGCCUUGCAGGAGAGCAGGACUGAGAGGACAGGGCCUGGUGGGCUGCCUCUCCUGGCUCCUAGCUCCUUCCCUGGCUCCUGCCUCCCCCCUGGCUCCUGGCUCCUCUGGGUGUCCAAUCCCUCUCCUCAGUCCUGGAAUCACCAAGUUUACUGUCCUCGCCGGCUGACUCCAGGAUAGUGUAGGGAUGGACAGCAAGCAGCACUGGGCUGUGACUGGACACCCAGGAGGCCUUCUCUGAGAAUCUAUUAAAAAAUAUUUUGUUAUUUAUUUGAAAGGCAAGUUACAGAGAGACAAGGAGAGAUAAGGGAGUGAUGCUUUGUUUGUUUUAAGAUUUGCUUAUUUUACUUGAAGUCACAGAUACACAGAGAGAGAGGGAAAAGUAGAGAGAGAGAGAGAGACGUCUUCUAUCUGCUGCUUCACUCCCCCAGAUGGCUGCAACGGCCUGGCUGCGCCGAUCUGAAGCCAGGAGCCAGGAGCUUCCUCAGGUCUCCCAUGCACAUUCACAGGGAGCAGGAUCGGAAGUGAAGCCGCCAGGACUCUGCUCUGUGUCUACAUGGGAUGGCACUGCAGAUUGUGGCUUAACACACUGUGACACCACUUUCCCAGGAUGCACUGUGUUCUAGCUGGGACCAGGAAGGAGAAGCCAUGAUGGAAACAUGGAAGUGAAAUUCUGGAUGGAGGGGCCAUAGCAAUCCCUUCCGUAUUCCCACAGCUGCUUUUGUGCACUGCCUGUGGCUGCUGCUGCUGUGAAUCCUCAUGUCCAUGGGGACAAGAAGCUUGAGUAAAAUGUAAGACCCAGGGCCUACACCUUCCCCACCGGGCACCCAGCAGGGUACGUGUGGUCCUGUGACAGCAGUGGGGGUCCGGGAGUCAGCCUGAGUGUAGGAAACAUCAGGCUCCCUGCAGGAAGGAGGAGCAGCCUGGGCACGGGAGCCCCCAGGGGAAGUGGACCCUGGCUCAUGAAGGCUGACUUUGUGGCUCCUGAGAACUGGCCUUGACCUCUGCUCAGCCCAGGGCUCUCUCAGCCACCAUGGCCAGGGCUAGCCCAGGCCAGGUCCAGAGGGAGAAACAUUAUCUGUGUACCCCACAUGGGUGGCAGGGACCCAAGCCCUUGGGCCCUCCUCUGCUGCUUUCCCAGGUGCCUUAGCAGAGAUCUGGAUCAGGAGUGGAGCAGCUGGGACCUGAACUGUCCUCAUAUGAGAUGUCAGAGACAUGGUUAGAGGCUUAACCCCCUGUGCAAAGCAACAGCCCUAUACUCCAGGUUACUGCAUUAAUGAUUCAUGGUAUCCCAGCUGUGCAGGUAACCAGGUUUCUUAGAGAGCUGAGGGCCUAAGAAAACGUGGCAGGUUCACUCAGGUGAAUGUGACUCAGCCGUGAAAGGACUGGAACCCUUUAUUUGUGCUGCAUGGAUGGGAUUGAGGCACCACUCAUGGCAGCCUGCAGGGACGAAGCCACGGUGACUCCUGGUGUCCUGGUCCUCUGUGGCCUCUAAGAGAUGUGAGAUCACAGGCAUGCUGGGAGGAGGAGGAGGUGGAGGGCUUAAGGCACCCAGGGGUGGGCAACAAUCCCCAACCCAGCUCCUUCCUUGU